GACGAACUGUGCAAACGUUAUUCGGAAUCACUGGGCUUGAAGAGUGCGUAGGCGGUUUUGUAAGUAGGGUGUGAAAGCCCCCGGCUCAACCGGGGAAUUGCGCCUUAAACUGCAAGGCUGGAGUGAGGUAGGGGUGUGUGGAACUUCUAGUGGAGCGGUGAAAUGUGUUGAUAUUAGAAGGAACGCCGGUGGCGAAAGCGACACACUGGACCUUGUCUGACGCUGAGGCACGAAAGCCAGGGGAGCAAACGGG
rnacentral:rRNA from 1 species